UACGGAGGGGGUUAGCGUUGUUCGGAAUGACUGGGCGUAAAGCGCGCGUAGGCGGAUCAUCAAGUCGGGGGUGAAAUCCCGGGGCUCAACCCCGGAAUGGCCUUCGAGACUGGUGGUCUUGAGUUCGAGAGAGGUGAGUGGAAUUCCGAGUGUAGAGGUGAAAUUCGUAGAUAUUCGGAGGAACACCAGUGGCGAAGGCGGCUCACUGGACCAUUACUGACGCUGAGGUGCGAAAGCGUGGGGAGCAAACAGG
rnacentral:rRNA from 1 species